rnacentral:lncRNA from 1 species
CCAUCAGCUCAAUGACAUCAUCACCCUCACAGUCCAUCCGUCCAAUCAUCUCCAUGGCCACUCAUGGUCCAUCUGUCCAAUAUCCGUGUCCAACAGAGUUCCAGAACAUUCUGAGGGUCCCACCAGCUCAAUGGCAUCAUCACCCUCAUGGUCCAUCUGUCCAAUCCCUGUGUCCAAAGAAGUUCCAGAACAUUCCGGGGGUCCCAUCAGAUUCUCACCCUCAUUGUCCAGCCCUCCAAUCAUCUCCAUGGCCACUCAUGGUCCAUCCAUCCAAUCCCUGUUCUAGAACAUUCUGGGGUCCCACCAGGUCAGUGACAUCAUCACCCCCAUGGUCCAACCCUCUGAGCAUCUCCAUGGCCACUCACGGUCCAUCUGUCCAUCCAAUCAUCUCCAUGGCCACUCAUGGUCCGUCCGUCCAAUCAUCUCCAUGGCCACUCAUGGUCCAUGUGUCCAU